CCUACGGGAGACAGCAGUGAGGAAUAUUGGUCAAUGGGCGCGAGCCUGAAGCAGCGAAGUAGCGUGAGGGAUGACGGCCCUACGGGUUGUAAACUUCGUUUAUAAAGGAAUAAAGUGAGGCAGGUGUGCCUGUGUGUGUGUACUUUAUGAAUAAGGAUCGGCUAACAGCGUGCCGGCAGCCGCGGUAAUACGGAGGAUCCGAGCGUUGUCCGGAUUUAUUGGGUUGAAAGGGAGCGUAGAUGGGUUGUUAAGUCAGUUGUUAAAGUUUGCCGCUCAACCGUAAAAUUGCAUUUGAUACUGGCAGUCUUGAGUACAGUAGAGGUAGGCGGAAUUCGUGGUGUAGCGGUGAAAUGCUUAGAUAUUACGAAGAACUCCGAUUGCGAAGGCAGCUUACUAAACUGCCACUGACAUCGAUGCUCGAAAGUGUGGGUAUCAAACAGGAUUAGAUACCCGUGUAGUC
rnacentral:rRNA from 1 species